UCGGGAAUUUUGGGCAAUGGGCGAAAGCCUGACCCAGCAACGCCGCGUGAGGGAUGAAGUAUUUCGGUAUGUAAACCUCGAAAGAAUGGGAAGAAUAAAUGACGGUACCAUUUAUAAGCUCCGGCUAACUACGUGCCAGCAGCCGCGGUAAUACGUAGGGAGCAAGCGUUGUUCGGAUUUACUGGGCGUAAAGGGCGCGUAGGCGGCGCGGUAAGUCACUUGUGAAAUCUCUGAGCUUAACUCAGAACGGCCAAGUGAUACUGCUGUGCUAGAGUGCGGAAGAGGCCACCGGAUUUCUGGGUGUAGCGGUGAAAUGCGUAGAUAUCAAGAGGAACACCUGAGGCGAAGGCGGGUUGCUGGGCCGACACUGACGCUGAUGCGCGAAAGCCAGGGGAGCAAACG
rnacentral:rRNA from 1 species